UCAAUUAGAAACAAGGAAAGAGUGGGAGUGCCUGGGUGGCUCAGUCGGUUAGGCAUCUGACUCUUGAUCUCAACUCAGGUCGUGAUCUCAGGGUCAUGAGUUAAAGCCCCCGCAUUGGGCUCUGCGCUGGGCUCGAAGCCUACUUUAAAAGAAGAACAAAAGUGUGACUCUUCUGUGUGUCCCGAGGCCCUGCCCGCUGCCCAACACUCCCCUCCGGGACCUCCUCUCCAGCCCUUCCCCGCGGCCCAGCAGCGAUGCCCUCAUACCUGGAGAACUUGGCACAGCCGGUCCCUUUGCCCUGAACUUUCUGCCUGAAAAACAACCCAGUCUUCAGAAGCCAGCUCACAUAUCCUCUGAGAGGCUUCCCUCCCUCCCCCCUGCAGAGUGGAUAAUGUCCACUCUCAGACAACUACGUGCUGGAUUUCAUUUCAGAUCUCAGCUCCUACUCACGUUCCCUGUUGUUGAGGGACAGGCCUCCCGCCCAGCCCUUGUCUCACAGGUUGGCUCUUUCCACCUCUUUCUACCUCGCUCACAGAGCAUGCAGAUGAGUCUGUCUGGGGGCGUGAGGCUUAUUCUGCAGGAGAGACCUGGGGACACUACGAGGCAUUGGGGGCUGUGACCACCAGCUGGGGACAGUGAUGCCGAGGUCACGGGCUCCCUGCUCUGAGGACUGGUCCCCUUUGUCUGCGUCUGUGGCCACAGAAUGUGUCCUCAACUGGAGGAAUCCGUGGGAGGCCACAAGGGGCCUGGGUAGACAUGUCAAAGGAUUGGUUCUCUCUAGUAGAGAACGGGCCAUGUGCUUCCUGGAGAUGGGACCAGAGCAUUCUUGGAGUCGUUAUCAUCCUGUAAACAUAACAUGCCACAGUGUUUACACAAGCUGAGUUGACACCUUAUGGUGGCUGGAACCGACGAGGCCUCUAAGGAGGAAGUGGGGCAGGUAGCUAGGCUGUAAGCAGAGGGGGAGACCGCAGGUCAGAGAGGUUCAGUGACUGCCUCACUUGAGGUAGCACAGCUGGCCGGCGACAGGCUGUGACCGGAACCCAGAGCCUAGCUGUGCAUCAGUUUUCCAGAUCAGGGGCCCUGAGGCCUUGACUGCAAUUCUGAAAAUUCGAGGCAUCCAAGUGGGAAGUCGGCGCUUUUAAAGGAGUCGCUAUGAUCGCACCAGCAGCAAAUGGGUGAUUUUCAACAUCAGCAGUUUGAUUUGAUUAGUAGCUGGAGUCUGCUUGGUGGGAGCUGGCGAUUCUUCAGAAGACGCUACUGGGGGUCCUGCAAGGCUCAGUUUGUGGGCUUGGACUUGAGUUCUAUCUCCUGAGCCUGAUGCUUCUGGCUGGCAGGCUUCGGAGAUGAUCGGGAAGCCUGGGGAACCCUUGGUUAUUCAGUGGCAUCGCUGAGCAGGGCAGCUGGGUCCAGACCCACUCUUGAGACCUGAGGAUAUUUCUAGAACAUACUUUUAAUGGGGACCGAGGCUGGUUCCUCAGACCUACAGUGCUCCCCAUGGGCCUGGAGACCUCUGCUUAGCCACUGGUGGACGCCCCAGGGUUGGGAUUUGUGGGUAACGCCUCCUCCAAGGGCUCACAACCCCUCAUUCCAAACAUAGGAUCUGAGCAUCAAGUAAACUCUUCCCAAAAAGCCUCUGGGUACCUGGAGCUGAAGCUGACUACUUAUCAGGGCACUUAACAUGACCCCCUUCCCAACUGGGGCAAUCCCACCUCCCCGGCAGGGCCCUGAGUGCCCCCUCAGCUUUCUCGGUAGAGGACUUUCUAACAAAGCUUGUGGUCUAGGACAGACGCUUAGAAGAAGCCUGUCUGCCUAAGUCAGACCCAGGACAGCUUUCCCAAGGGAGGGGAGACUGCCUGCCCUUUCGUUUCCUACCUCUUUAGUUCCAGCUGCAUGGAACCCCCUUUCAAAAACAUCCCUGCCUUUUUUAAUUCUCUGGCACGAUUAGUCAGAAUUAAGUAUCUAGUUUGGUUUUUUUUUUUUUUUUUUCCCUACUCGCUUACCUGUUCUGCUGUUCUUUCAACAUUUUGGGUGUGCAUGUGGUAACAGUGGGAGGAACCCGGAUGCCCUGCUUUUUUCUGGAGUUGGUGAUUUUUUCCCCAAGAUUCACACCUACUUCCCCAACAUUCACCACCCCCUUCCGGUUAUACUAGAUCCGGAUUCUCCUCUGGGGAACCAUUCUCUCCCUCCAGCCAUUGCUAUGUGCGAUGAUUAAAAUGGCCUAUAUCCCCAGAUGCAGGAAUAGACAUGUUUUCUGUCAUUUGCAAUCAACUCUCCAAUCCAUUUGCCUUUUUAAAAAAAUGUUUUAGUUAUUUUCUGAGAGCGUGCACAGAGGGGAGGAGCAGAGAGAGGGGGACAGAGGAUCUGAAAUGGGCUCUGUGCUGAUAGCAGUGAACCCGAUGUGGGACUUGAACUCACGAGCCUCGAGAUAUGACCUGAGCCGAAGUUGGACGCCCAGCUGAGCCACCCGGGUGUCCCCCGUUCAAUUUGCCUUUAACAUCAUCUGAAUGGCAACAGAUUCCUUCAUGGGGCAGAGUUUUCAAGCCAGGAAUGUGCCUUUGAGGCUACCUGAUCUCAUACUUUCGUUCAGUCACUCAGCUAACAAAGCAUGGCUCAUAACUGGUCAGAACACAUCCCAAAUGCCCGAACUUUCUAAUCAGGAGUCAGACAGAAGGAAACGAGAGUUGGAAUCAAACCAAUGAGGAAAUCUGUUGAGGGGCCAUCCAAGUUCCUGACACUUCCCUUGGCUUUUCCUUGUCCUUCUGAGCGAUACUCACGUUUCAGGGCAAUUGCUUCCAGAAGCCGCCCCUGUGUGCCGGACACAGUUGCCUGACAGGUGGCAGAGCAGGCUGGGGCCGCAUGAGGUCUCAUACCCUCCCGUUGUCCCUCCUGCCUGUCCAUUAGCGCUGUGUCCUGUGUGAGCUGCACCCCCGUCCCUGCGCUUAAGUCUUUCCUCCCCAAAGCUGUCCCCUUUGACAUAUCAGACCUACCCUUCUCCCAAACUCCAGUCCAAACCCUGCCUCUGCCAGGAAGCUUCCAAGAUGGGAGCUAAUCUCCUUCCUCCUCUAACGGGGGUCCCUUCAGCCUUUCCCGAGUGACAGUAGGCACUUGUGUGCCACAGCACUAUCAUUCCUCUGUUGCCAAGAGGAGACUGAGGACUCAGUGGACACAGGAAGCUCUCUGUCAUCUCCGCUCCUGGCCCUGGCCCAUGACAGCGCCUCUGAGCAAACUCUGGGUGGCUGAAUGGAGUUGUGGAAAGGUCGAAUCCUUGCCCCAGAAGGGUCCUUCCCUCUUUGAGAUACGGUUCUCUGCACUUAACUGGGACUAAGGGAGGGCCCCUCCUCCAUUCUUCCUCUUAGGAAUCUCACGAGUUGGAAUUGGUCUCUGGAGUUUGCCUUAAGCCCCAUCAGCCUAGUCACCCCUUCAGCCCUGAACUCCUGCAUUCCAAGGGAGGGGGUCCUCAGGCCCAAGCUAUCCAGCUGAGUGGGGUUUACUCAGUCCCUUUUCUUAAAAAAGAAUCUGAUCAUAAUAAAAAUUACUGAUGAAUGAUAAAAGCUAAUGCUUGUUGAGUCUUUACUAAAUGUAUAUCAAACAUGCCACUUGACGGAUGAGGAAACUGAGGCAGGGGACUACAGAGUAACCUGCCCAAGAACACCCAUGGUUUGAAUUCAGGGCCCACACUCCUAGCCGUUCCUCACCCCCUGCCCCCUGCCCAGAUCACUCGGCCCUCCCCUCCAGCUUGUCCUUGGCUCCUCACCCCUCUCUGUUUGCCCAGGACCCCUGAUGGGGCAGCCCACACAGGGGUUUAGUAAAUGCUUAUGAAACAAGUGAAUGGAAUCAGGGAAUUCUAUCAGGUUAUCCCUAGGAGGGCCUCGAAGGCGUGAGAAGGAACAACGAAAGUGCCGAAAGCCCAGCUUCCAGGACCUUCUGUCACUCUCCACCACACCUAGGAAGAGGGAUGUUUCCGAAAAGUUCCUGGAUUUCAGAUUGACUCUCUUCACUGUUGACGUAAGAUGGAGGGCAUGGGUGCGGUUGCCUCUUGGCCAGACCCCGUGAGAGACCUCCAGGGAAAAACCACCGUGGCGGGCCGUGGCUUCUGAGGUUGUGCCUGAGGUGGAUGGAUGAGAGAGCAGGGAGGUCUGCCUGGGUCAGGAGGGUUUUGAUUUCCAGCAACAAAACCCAACCCACACUAGCUUAGCAACGGGGGAGAUUUAUUGGCUCAUGUGGCUGAGAAAUCAGGAAGUGGACUUGAGGCACGGUUUCAUCAAGGCUCUGGCCCCAUGCCUCUGCAAUUCCCUCUCAGGUCUGCUCCUACCCAUGGAGCUUCAUCCCCAGGCUAUCUUCCGGCAGCAUUGAGGGUGGCAGACCUCCUUCUUCUUCCGGGGGAAUGUUAGACACCGCCCCACCCCCAUCUCACAAGCGUUGUCUGAUCGGGUCUCACUUGACCCAGGACUGCCUCUCCGAGUGUCUGCUUCUAAUUUUUUUUAAAAUGUUUUUAUUUUAUUUUUGAGAGACAGAGAGAGUGAGACUGGGGGAGGGGCAGAGAGAGAGAGAGGGAGACACGGAAUCCGAAGCAGGCUCCAGGCUCCGAGCUGUCAGCGCGGAGCCCGACGCGGGGCUCGAACUCACGAGCCGUGAGGUUAUGACCUGAGCCGAAGUUGGACGCUCAACCGACUGAGCCACCCAGGUGCCAGCGAUAUUUUCAAACGAUAAUUCUGUUUUUAAUCUUUUGGGGGAAACUUCCUCAUUCUUCUUACGGCUACGGAGUACUCUGCUGUGUGGAUGUACUCUUGUUUAUUGGUUAUUAAAAACAGAGCUGCAAUCAACAGCCACAUCCCUCCGUCUUUUUGUAUUAUUUGCAGUGGAUCCGUAGGAUAGAUUCCUAGAAGUGGGAUUGCAGGAUCAACGGAUCAUGCAGUUUUAUUAGGUAUUGGCAAACUCCCUUCCGUAGGGACAGUCCCAUUUCGCAUUCACAUCGGCAAAGUGUGAGACUAUUUGUUUUCUCAGGCCGGGACAAAAGAGGAUUUUGUUAAACUUUUGGAUUUUGCCCAGCCCGAUCAGCCAGCAAUAGUUCCUUGGGGCAAUUUGCAUUUCUUUCACUAAGUGAGGUUGACCAUCUUUCCCUGUGGUUUGGAAACACUUGCCUUGCCUCUUCCGAAAACCAGUUAUAUUUUUAGUACAUUUUUCUCCCCGGUGGUUGGGCUUUUAACUUACACGAGGGGCUCUUUCUACGCUAAGAAUAUUAAUGCGUUCUCUGUGAUGCAAGUUGUGAAUCUUUUUUUUUUUUAACUAGUUGAUCAUUUGUCUUUUUCAUUUUACUUCCGUAUUUAUUUCAAUCUAAUUUAACUUUUUUUGCCACGCCAAACUUCAAUUCCUUGCAACUUAUUAAUCUUCCCUUGUAUUGCUUCUGGGUGUUGAGUCAGGAUUAAGAAAGCUUUGCUCGCUCCCAAGUUAUAGAAGAAUUUCCCGAUUGCCCCCUUGCACUUGGAUGGUGUCCUUUUACACUUAAAUGGCCAAUCCCUUUGGAAGGUAUUCUGGUAAAGGACAGGAACACCUCCAAUUGUUCCUGGUUCCCCAGGGCUCUCCAGUUACCUGAGCACUAACUGAAAUCACCCAUUCUUUCCCCCCACCCCAGAUUCCUGACCCUGCCUUUAUCUCACACAAGCUCUCCACAGGCAACGGGGGCCAUUUCUGGAUUUUUGCAUUCUGCCGUCUGGAAGAACACUUCCCGCUGCUCGGGGCACCUAAAAGGGAGACCCUGAAGGUCGCGGGCAGGGUGACGGGCACAGGAAGUGGAGGCCCGUCCUGCUCGCCUCUCUGGAGGGACACCUGAAUGAUGUCGUACCAGCUCUGCUCGCCGGACAGCGUCACUGAGAGGACCGACCCUGUGGAAUGCGACUUACAGUCAAGUAUCCCACCAUAUUAUUAUUGUUCAUGUGGCCCGAAUUUUGCAAACACUGCCCCCCCCCCCCCACCAAACAGCCACUCACAGCUUAGCCGCUCUGACCCCUGUACCUCCCUUAUUACCCUGAGGUGACCCUGACGCCCCAGUCUCGUAGAAUCAGACGUUGUUUAAGAGUUAAAGGGAGUCUAGAAGUCACGGUGUCCCUCUCGGUGUUGGCUGUGUCGGUUUAGGUGGAGAAGGGUGGCAGGUGUGGACCCCAGCUCUGUUAGGACUUAGCUUCGUGGGAAGCCGGGGAUCCCAAGGGAGCAUGUCCUGCCCCUCAGCUGCGUGCGGAGGGAGGAGUUGCCCGGGUUGUGUGGCUCUAAUCCAGUCUGCCCCACAUGCUGGCCUCGUCCAGAUCCGGGACCGGCUCUUCUGGAGGCUCGGCAUGGGUGGGGUGGGGGCGCCCACCACGAGAGGUACCCCCCUUUCUCUGCUGGGCUGCCUCAGAACUGAGCCGUGCCUUCUUUGAAUGAAGUGACCUCUGCCCGUUCCUCAGCCCCUGGGUAGUCACACCCACGUCCUCUGAGUACCCCCGGCUCUGACGCCUGCCCACCCCCCACUCUGUCCGUCUGUCUUCAGACUGGCCACCCAUUUCCUUUGCCUUUGCUCCAUCUGGCCUGCCUUCCCACCUCCUCUCUGUCGGUCCCCUCCCCAGCCUCUCACUCUCCUCCCUGCCAGAGUGGUGGUCAGGGCAGAGGCAGAAGGAGUCAUCUCCCUCGGGCAGGGUCUGGGUCUCUCUUUGUGCUGCCCACAGUGGCUGGUGGAGAAUGGCUUUUGAAGGGCCCGAAAGAGAAACCCUCCAGGACCUCCCUGAAAUGACAAAAGCAAGCCUGUGCCUUGGGAUAGGGGUCGAAUCAUCUGACCUAUCACUGAGGCCCUCGGACGUCUUCCUGACCAAGUAAGUAUACUAGACCGUCGUGAGCCACGCCGGUGCCCAGACGGCUCGGAGGCUGGAGGAAGGAAGCCAGCUUUGGGGCUGAGCUGAGCCACUGGGUGAGGAUGCCUGGGGGAGAAGGCCUCGGCAGGGAGCCUGCUGGGACGUUAACCGGUAACCUUGCCCGGCUCCGCAUCUCCCGGGAGAAGAGCGCAAGGCCCCUGCUCGCUGAGCUCGAAGCAGCAUGUGGGGCCCACGUUGCCAAAAAGGACUGUCUUGGUUGGUCAGUUUCCAAGGCAUUUGCAUCCAGAGGGAAGUGAGAGGGAGCAUCGCGCGCGGUCAGGAAGCUUUGUCACCCCCUACCCCCGGCACGCGGGAGCCAGCUGUCUGUACCAGUGCUCCCUGAGGCCCUGAAAAGAGAACACGAGGCUGUCCUCUGUCCUUCUCAAGGACCUAGCUCGCCGUCCGGAAGAGGAGAGGCUACCCCAGCAAAGAGCUCUCUCCUUUGUCACAAUGAGCCUCGAUGUGAACGUGUACGAAGGUCAGGCAGAUAUAGGCGAGUUCUUGCUUUCAUCACGAUCCCUACGAGGAACCAGACGGAAGGGAAAACAAUCUCGAGAGGCUCCCCAGAGAUCUCCCUGGAUCUCCCAGUCUGGACAUAUUUGAUGUCCCUCAGGACAUGCUGCUCCCCCUGCCUGGAUGCCCUUGCCCCAAAUCUUUGCUGGACUGGCCUCUUGAUGCUGAUGGCUGUGCUCAAGGGUCAGCUCCUAGAGGCCUUCUCUGACCCCUAUCCAAAGUGGCCUAUCCCCCUAGGACUCAGUCUCUCUCUAAAUAACUGCUGUUUCUUCCUUACAGUAGUCAGUAUUAUUUCUGUUUAAUAGACUUACGUCCCUUUUCCAGCCUCCACUGACAGGAACGCGAACUCUCGGGGAGCCAGGCUGCUCCGUGGUGAUCAUCGCCGUAUCCCGGUGCCUGGAGGGGUGCCUGGCACCUGACAGAGCGUGAGCAGGGGAGGAGCAGACAGAGAGGGAGACCCAGAAUCCGAAGCAGGCUCCAGGCUCCAAGAUGUCAGCCCAGAGCCCGAUGCGGGGCUCGAGCCCACAAACCGUGAGAUCGUGACCUGAGCCGAAGUCAGAUGUUUAACCGACUGAGCCACCAGGUGCCCCUCGGAGCCUCUUCUUUUUGGAAGGCUUGUGGGGGACUGAGAGGAAGGGCAGCUGAGGUAAAGUAUGGGGGCCACCAGCUUCCCCAGGGAAAGGGAUUUCUAGGCCAAGACCUUGUGGAGUCUGUUUGUGUCCAUCUGGCGUGGUGAAAAGAAAGGAAGCAAUUCUCAGCGUGUGUCUACCCCUGCACGAUAAAAGGAAGGAGCUAUUGAUACACAGCACCUCGGAUGAAUCACAAAGGCCUCAGGCGGAGUGAAAGCAGCCAGUCUCCAAAGGGCCCCCUGGAUCAUUGAAGUGGAGACGUCCCGUUGGUGGUUGAUUUCGACAUUCUGGAACUCAGAGAAGGCUGACUUAGCAGUGCAGGCGUGGGGGUCACCGGCAUGUGAAUGGGGCUGAAGAGCCUGGGAGAUGGACACAUCUGACUGGGAAGAACUAGAAGGAGACUCAGAGAAGGACCAAGGCAGAAGCCCAGAGCCCGCACACCUAAACGCAGUCACUCACACACCGCCCUCACUAUUUAUUUGCCACAUCAGUACACGCCCCCUCUUGUUUUCUAGUAAAUAGAAAGUUCUUGAAGUUCUCCUACUUUUUAAUGUAAUGAGUUUAUUUCAAAAGGAAAUUUGUACAUAAUGGGUGAAAAAAAAUCAACGUCAGAGCCGUGAAGGGCAUUGACGAUAUAAACACAGCGAAAACAAAACAAUACCACACAAUUCUAGCUAGGUAAAGGACAUCUGCAAAUGUUAGUCCUGUGUUCAAGACGGAGCCGCCCCCAAUUGAGCCCUGGUCCCAGAAGAAGCGAGGAUUGAGAGAGAGUCAAAAAGGAAGUAACUUUGUUAGUGACACUUAAAAUCAGCUCUCUGGACACCGGCGGGAGUCACGCUCUUUGUUUAAAGCAGAGGCCCUCAACCUUUCUCCGUGAAGGGCCAAAUAAUAAAUAUUUAGACUUCGAGGGCCAUUUGCAUGCCUGCUACAUACCCCCCCCGCCACCGCCCUUGUCUUGAAAUCCUUUAGAACCAUUCUUAGUCCUGGUUGGAUUAAAAACAGGCCCAGGGCUGGGUCUGGCCCACGGGCUGUAGUUUGCCACCUCCUGAUUUAAAGGAUGGUGAGAAGAAGGCCAGACCCCCAACGAGACAAGUGUUUAUGGUGUCACACGGGGUUCCUAGGCACUCAACUCCGGACCACGCAGUAGCGUCCCCACCCCAGCCAUCAAAGGCCCUUCUCUGCCUCUGUUUUUAGGCUCCCACGCAGGCAAUUCCUUGUCCCCCAGGAGCCUCGUGGGAGAUUUGGCCACACCUCCCUUGUGGACGGUUUCACAAGAUCAGAGCCUCUCAGAACUGGUUGUUCAGGGAGCCGCUUUGGGGCUAGGUCAGCAUUUCAUUACCAAUACUUCCCUCUGGACUCUGUGGGUCCCUCUU